UUGCGUAGGCGGUUAGUUAAGUGAAUAGUGAAACCUGGUGGCUCAACCAUACAGACUAUUAUUCAAACUGGCUAACUCGAGAAUGGUAGAGGUAACUGGAAUUUCUCAAGUAGGGGUAAUAUCUGUAGAUAUGAGAAGGAACACCAAUGGCGUAGGCAGGUUACUGGACCAUUUCUGACGCUAAGGCACGAAAGCGUGGGGAGCGAACC
rnacentral:rRNA from 1 species